AUUGAACGCUGGCGGCAGGCUUAACACAUGCAAGUCGAGCGGAGAUGAGGUGCUUGCACCUUAUCUUAGCGGCGGACGGGUGAGUAAUGCUUAGGAAUCUGCCAUUUAGUGGGGGACAACAUUCCGAAAGGAAUGCUAAUACCGCAUACGUCCUACGGGAGAAAGCAGGGGAUCUUCGGACCUUGCGCUAAAUGAUGAGCCUAAGUCGGAUUAGCUAGUUGGUGGGGUAAAGGCCUACCAAGGCGACGAUCUGUAGCGGGUCUGAGAGGAUGAUCCGCCACACUGGGACUGGGACACGGCCCAGACUCCUACGGGAGGCAGCAGUGGGGAAUAUUGGACAAUGGGCGGAAGCCUGAUCCAGCCAUGCCGCGUGUGUGAAGAAGGCCUUUUGGUUGUAAAGCACUUUAAGCGAGGAGGAGGCUACUAGUACUAAUACUACUGGAUAGUGGACGUUACUCGCAGAAUAAGCACCGGCUAACUCUGUGCCAGCAGCCGCCGCAG
rnacentral:rRNA from 1 species